rnacentral:rRNA from 1 species
AGCUGAGUUUGAUCCUGGCUCAGGACGAACGCUUGCGGCGUGCCUAAGAAAUGCAAGUCGAACGGGGGCUUCGGCCCCAGUGGCGAACGGUCGCGUAACACGUAAGCAACCGUGCCCUGAAGUGGGGGACAACAUCCCGAAAGGGGUGCUAAUACCGCAUGUGGUCACGAGUCGGCAUCGACUUGUGUCUAAAGAUUUAUCGCUUCAGGAUGGGCUUGCGGCCUAUCAGGUAGUUGGUGGGGUAAUGGCCUACCAAGCCGACGACGGGUAGCUGGUCUGAGAGGACGAUCAGCCGGAUUGGGACUGAGAUACGGCCCAGACU